rnacentral:rRNA from 1 species
GAUGAACGCUGGCGGCGUGCUUAACACAUGCAAGUCGAGCGAGAAGUUUUGAAAAGAUUCUUCUGAUGAAAUUGAAAAUGGAAAGCGGCGGACGGGUGAGUAACGCGUAGGCAACCUGCCCCAUACAAAGGGAUAGCAUUUGGAAACGAAUAUUAAUACCUUAUGAAACUUAACUAGUGCAUGCUAGGUAGGUCAAAGAUUUAUCGGUAUGGGAUGGGCCUGCGUCUGAGUAGCUAGUUGGGGAGGUAACGGCUCACCAAGGCGACGAUCAGUAGCCGACGUGAGAGGGUGACCGGCCACGUUGGAACUGAGGCACGGUACAAACUCCUACGGGAGGCAGCAGUGGGGAAUAUUGCACAAUGGGGGAAACCCUGAUGCAGCAACGCCGCGUGAACGAGGAAGGCCUUUGGGUCGUAAAGUUCUGUUCUAGGUGAUGGAAACUGACAGUAACCUAGGAGAAAGCCCCGGCUAACUCCGUG